UGGUAUUUGGCAUUUGGAGACACUUAAGAGCGAAAAAAGGUCAGAAAUGGUGAGGAAUGGUAAUGCUAGGGAUAGAUUUCAUCAAAUUCACUCUCUUGCACACAAAAUCCUCCCCUCGCCAUCAAACACUAAUGUCAACCCACUAAAACAAUUUAUCCCUAAUCCCUUAGGUGGAAAAGCCUAGGUUUUCUAGCUAAGCAUCAAUCCCUUGAUCACUCCACA
rnacentral:lncRNA from 1 species